rnacentral:rRNA from 1 species
UACGGAGGGUGCAAGCGUUAUCCGGAUUCACUGGGUUUAAAGGGUGCGUAGGCGGAUAGGUAAGUCCGUGGUGAAAUCCUGCAGCUUAACUGCAGAACUGCCAUGGAUACUAUCAAUCUUGAAUAUCGUGGAGGUAAGCGGAAUAUGUCAUGUAGCGGUGAAAUGCUUAGAUAUGACAUAGAACACCAAUUGCGUAGGCAGCUUACUACACGAUCAUUGACGCUGAGGCACGAAAGCGUGGGGAGCAAACAGG